GCUCAGAGUAUAAGCCAAUGGAGCUUGGAAGGCUUCCGCAGUUAAAAAUGCAUCCUGCGUGGUGUAUCAAGACCUUUCGGGCGAGGUUCGUCAGGCGUAGCAUUGAGUUUGCCAGGUUAGCUGUCGUGCGGGGGUUCGGCUUGGAGGACUUCGGUUUCGGCCGGAGUAGUUUUCAAGUCGUUUCCCUUUUGAAUGGACGUUCAGAGCUAUUGGUCUAAUGCGGUUAUGCCCACCACAGCACGUUGUGAGGUCACCCACAGGCUCAAACUGCCGAUCGCGCAUCCAGGACGAUGGCAACGAUGCGUUGUUGAUGAUGGCUCGAAUGAGACUUCACUCACACGCGUGUCUAGUUCUGGGUCGGGCGGCGACCGAGAUAAACCUGGUAUGAUCCUCUUGCGACGAGCUGCUUUCUGGCCAGACCGACGCCCGGACGCAACCACUGUGCCGGAAGCGUCUACCCCAGGCGGUGUGAACCCAGCUAAAUUAUGCAAGGUCUCUCAGCCGGGCGUUGGUCUGAGUGGUGUCAAGUCCAGCACCAUCGGUCACGUCUCGAAACACGGGCCAAGGAGUAUAGCAUGUGUGCAAGUCUAAGGGUCUCACAAAACCCGAAGGCGAAGUGAAAGCAAGACUGUGGCGGGGGAGCUACGGCGAACCCGUCGGCCUAGUGGCGCGUGCGUUGCCUGGCUUUUAGCAGAGCUGAUCCUGUUUUCUCGGUUAAUUCUUGGUGCAGGCGCAAGCUCCGGGCUCACGUACAACUCUGGUCACGCCUCGCG
rnacentral:rRNA from 1 species